AAUAUCCUUCGUUAGGUGAGGCUUCUACACAGACAUAUGCCACUGCCCGGAAAUGUCGAGAGACGCCUACGGGUUAACAGGUACUACCGGCUUAAGGUUUUACUUAAUGUGGCUGGGAUGGUUCAUCAUCCCUAGCUGUGUACGUGUCAAAACUUUGACGAGCGGAGAAGGUG
rnacentral:sRNA from 1 species